UACGUAGGGUGCAAGCGUUGUCCGGAAUUACUGGGCGUAAAGCGCACGCAGGCGGUUUGUUAAGUCAGAUGUGAAAUCCCCGAGCUUAACUUGGGAACUGCAUUUGAAACUGGCAAGCUAGAGUCUUGUAGAGGGGGGUAGAAUUCCAGGUGUAGCGGUGAAAUGCGUAGAGAUCUGGAGGAAUACCGGUGGCGAAGGCGGCCCCCUGGACAAAGACUGACGCUCAGGUGCGAAAGCGUGGGGAGCAAACAGG
rnacentral:rRNA from 1 species